rnacentral:snoRNA from 1 species
UUAUCAGUAAGGUACAUCCUUACCUGUUACUCCUCCAAUGGAGUAUCAGAACGUGAUGAAUGGAGAUUAAUGAGAUAUGAUUAAUGUCUCCGUCUUGCAGGGAACAGCAACACCCUGCAAGAUCCAUUCUGAU